CCUACGGGGGGCAGCAGUGGGGGAUAUUGCACAAUGGGGGGAACCCUGAUGCAGCGACGCCGCGUGGGUGAAGAAGCGCCUCGGCGCGUAAAGCCCUGUCAGCAGGGAAGAAAAUGACGGUACCUGAAGAAGAAGCCCCGGCUAACUACGUGCCAGCAGCCGCGGUAAUACGUAGGGGGCAAGCGUUAUCCGGAUUUACUGGGUGGAAAGGGGGCGCAGACGGCGGUGCAAGCCAGGAGUGAAAGCCCGGGGCCCAACCCCGGGACUGCUCUUGGAACUGCGUGGCUGGAGUGCAGGAGGGGCAGGCGGAAUUCCUGGUGUAGCGGUGAAAUGCGUAGAUAUCAGGAGGAACACCGGUGGCGAAGGCGGCCUGCUGGACUGCAACUGACGUUGAGGCCCGAAAGCGUGGGGAGCAAACAGGAUUAGAUACCCCAGUAGUC
rnacentral:rRNA from 1 species